rnacentral:rRNA from 1 species
GACGAACGCUGGCGGCGUGCUUAACACAUGCAAGUCGAACGGUAAGGCCCUGCUUUUGUGGGGUGCUCGAGUGGCGAACGGGUGAGUAACACGUGAGUAACCUGCCCUUGACUUUGGGAUAACUUCAGGAAACUGGGGCUAAUACCGGAUAGGAGCUCCUGCUGCAUGGUGGGGGUUGGAAAGUUUCGGCGGUUGGGGAUGGACUCGCGGCUUAUCAGCUUGUUGGUGGGGUAGUGGCUCACCAAGGCUUUGACGGGUAGCCGGCCUGAGAGGGUGACCGGCCACAUUGGGACUGAGAUACGGCCCAGACUCCUACGGGAGGCAGCAGUGGGGAAUAUUGCACAAUGGGCGGAAGCCUGAUGCAGCAACGCCGCGUGCGGGAUGACGGCCUUCGGGUUGUAAACCGCUUUCGCCUGUGACGAAGCGUGAGUGACGGUAAUGGGUAAAGAAGCACCGGCUAACUACGUG